rnacentral:misc_RNA from 1 species
CAGAAUUCUAAAAGAGCACAGAGCACAAAUUACAGUAAACUGUAGAGAGCUGCAGAAUUUUCCUCUCUCUUGUAGGGGUCUCCCCUCUUCACGCAAGUCUCACACAUAAAUCUCCACGAUUCUUUUGCUUGGGGUUCUCGCAAUGUCAACGAUAGACCUCAAACUCUCUCGAUCCAACCGAAUCUAUUGUCCCUCUGUAUGUUUUCUCUCUCUCUCUCACUCUACAAAUAUAUAUGCACUGAUCGUCAGAUCAAACGACAUUGCUCUGUAUAUUUUCAGGAACCUCUUCAGGGCAAAAUCGUUAUCAAGUCUCCAUCUUCACUUUCUCACUAUGGAAUUCGCCUCACCGUCAAUGGAUCUGUUAACUUGCAGGUUUUCAAUUCAAUCCUCUGUUUGGUUUCUGACUGAAUGUGAACCAAAAUUUCAACUCAUACAUUCUCUUGUGAGAAUGAAAACGAUUCUUUUAGUUGUAAAAUUUUCUUGGGAUGAACGAAAUUUUUUUUGGAUUUUCGAUUCAAUUUUGGUAGCUUUUACGUUUGAUACUGAUUUGUGCUUCUACUUUUCGAUGCUUUUCGUGUUUUCAGAUUCGGGGAGGAUCUGCAGGAGUUAUUGAGUCCUUUUAUGGUGUUAUAAAACCCAUAACCAUUGUGUAAGUUCCUAUUUUGGGCAUUUGUUUAUGCUCUUAUUUUUCUAAAAUUAAUUGCAAAAAUUCUUUGAAUUAUUCUCCCCAUCCCUGAAACAAAAAAUGAAGCGCGCACACACGGUGCAUGCGCGCACACACCCAUAAAAAAAAAAGAAAGUGGAAUUAUUUUCUUCAAUACUUCGAGGGGUAGGGGAGCAAUUGGUGUCCCUUUCAGAAGGUAAAUGUUAAGAAGAGGAAAUUAGUUGACAGUUGUGUGAUCAAUUGUGUACAACAUGAAGAAAAGGAUGAAAAAUAAAGGAGAUUGCAACCCAAAAUCUAUACUUAAUCGAUACAUGUGAAUUUGAAUUUUUUAGCUGAUAGUAGAUUGAGUACGGGUAAUAUUGCAUGUAUGUUAGAGCUGAAAAAGGCAUUUAAAGCCUGGUUGUGAGCUCUGGUCCAAGCCUUCAAUCCUCUAAUCAUAAGUUGAGCACUUAGUGAUCUUUGUUAUUAAAGAGAGGAAGAGAGAGUUUCACUUUGGAACAUGUGUAAGAUGCAUUGUGGUUUUUAAGAUUUUGUUUACUCAGGAAAAGAAAAAAGAAUAAGAGAAAAAAAUGUGAUCAGUUCUAGCAAUUUGAUAGUUGUAGUGUUGAUGUGCUUACAGAGAUAGAUAUGCAUGCAUAAAAACACAUUCAAAAAGUAAUGCUAGAGUUAUGGUAAGUGCUUGACAUAGACAUGGAGCUUCGUUGCAUGACACCAUUUAUAAUUGUACCCAUGUAGUGCCUGAUGCAAAAUUUUUUAUGGAUGUGAUGUUGAUGUAGAACGUCUGGUGAAUUAGGGUUUAGAAUCAUGUGGAAGCUAAAAUAGUAGGAAAUUAACAUUCGCAAAGUGGCAUGAUUUAGGAUCAAGACAAGAUAAACCAAGUUCUUGGAGUUAGAAACUAUAGUGGUUUUGGCACUAUAAAUAACGGCACGAUGGAUGAUAGCUUUGGGAAAUCUGGGUAGUAUAUGAGGAUUUAUUUCUACAAGAGGGUCUUUAAGUUUCAAAGUUGUCGAAAAAGCAAGGUGUGUUAAGGCGCCAGUUUUUCAUGU